rnacentral:rRNA from 1 species
UAACGAAUAUUCCGCAAUGGGCGAAAGCCUGACGGAGCAAUGCCGCGUGUGGGAUGAAGCGGUUUCGCCGUGUAAACCACUGUCAGGAAAUAGAAAAGAUGAUCAUUUCCAGAGGAAGGGGCGACUAACUCUGUGCCAGCAGUCGCGGUAAGACAGAGGCCCCGAGCGUUAGUCGGAAUCACUGGGCUUAAAGGGUGCGUAGGCGGACGUGUCAGUGUCUCGUGAAAGCCCCGGGCUCAACCCGGGAACCGCGGGGCAUACUGCACGUCUUAGAGGAAGCUAGAGGCCGGUAGAACGAUCGGUGGAGCGGUGGAAUGCGUAGAGAUCGAUCGGAAUGCCAAGGGUGAAGACAACCGGCUGGGGCUUUCCUGACGCUGAGGCACGAAAGCGUGGGGAUCAAACAGGAUUAGAUACCCGCGUAGUCC